rnacentral:lncRNA from 1 species
GUUGGAGUUAAUGUUCGACAUGUUGACGAGAGACGGACAACAGUAUUCCAUAAUACGUCCUGUAAACGAGCGUAUAAAAAUAUAUUGAGUAGUAAACACAUUCUAGAUACAUAAUUUUAAAAACAUGUUCAUAGAAAAUGGAAUUCAUUACAAAGGAUUAUACCCGUAAUAAGAAAUACUGGAUUUGUCAAGGACCCGACUUAUUUGAUUUACUGUUAUCUGUUUUUGUCAAUUUUAAUUCCUUGUUAUUUGUUAUAAGCCAAAUCAAUUUGCUGUUUUGCUGUUAUUGGGACCCCCCUUGCCCCCC